rnacentral:lncRNA from 1 species
AACAGCCUGCACAGCAGUUGCCAGGGCAGACCCUGCACUGGCUCCAAGCUGGUAUUUUUUAAAUGGAGCUCGCACUAAAGCAGAAGCAGAUUUUCCCAGUCCAUCACUGAGACUCUCGUACGCCUGUGAAUUUGAGAGAACAAAAGCUCUGUGAAUUUGAGAGAACAAAAGCUUUAUUUGAGAGCAACUACACGCAACAAAUAUAUUGUUUUAUUUCCUAAAUCGCAUGGAUGUAAAAUGGCCUUCACAAUAAAAAAGCCAUGAUCUCAAACUAGUUGGGUUGGCAAUAUGCUUUUCUCUGUUGAAGGUGUAUCUUUCUUGCACCGUUCCAUCCUGAUCAUAAACCAAACCCAAUGUAUGAUAGUCAUUACGGCCAUAAAUUCCCAAUCUUUAAUUUCUACAGUGUCUAGUCCCUAACCAAAAAAAAACAGCCAAAACUGCGUGACACCUAACAAAAAGCACAAGGAGCAACCAUGCAAAAAGCAAGGCAAGUUGAGG